rnacentral:rRNA from 1 species
UGGGGAAUAUUGCACAAUGGAGGGAACUCUGCUGCAGCGACGCCGCGUGAACGAAGAAGGCUUUCGAGUCGUAAAGUUCUUUCAUAUGGGAAGAUAAUGACGGUACCAUAAGAAAAAGCCCCGGCUAACUACGUGCCAGCAGCCGCGGUAAUACGUAGGGGGCUAGCGUUGUCCGGAAUCACUGGGCGUAAAGGGUUCGCAGGCGGAAAUGCAAGUCAGGUGUAAAAUGCAGUAGCUUAACUACUGUAAGCAUUUGAAACUGCAUAUCUUGAGAAGAGUAGAGGUAAGUGGAAUUUUUAGUGUAGCGGUGAAAUGCGUAGAUAUUAAAAAGAAUACCGGUGACGAAGGCGACUUACUGGGCUCAUUCUGACGCUGAGGAACGAAAGCGUGGGUAGCAAACAGG